rnacentral:rRNA from 1 species
CUACGUGCCAGCAGCCGCGGUAAUACGUAGGUGGCAAGCGUUGUCCGGAAUUAUUGGGCGUAAAGCGCGCSCAGGCGGAUUGGUCAGUCUGUCUUAAAAGUUCGGGGCUUAACCCCGUGAUGGGAUGGAAACUGCCAAUCUAGAGUAUCGGAGAGGAAAGUGGAAUUCCUAGUGUAGCGGUGAAAUGCGUAGAUAUUAGGAAGAACACCAGUGGCGAAGGCGACUUUYUGGACGAAAACUGACGCUGAGGCGCGAAAGCCAGGGGAGCGAACAGGAUUAGAUACCCUGGUAGUCCACGCUGUAAACGUUGGGCACUAGGUGUGGGGGCCACCCGUGGUUUYUGCGCCGUAGCUAACGCUUUAAGUGCCCCGCCUGGGGAGUACGGCCGCAAGGCUAAAACUCAAAGGAAUUGACGGGGGCCCGCACAAGCGGCGGAGCAUGCGGAUUAAUUCGAUGCAACGCGAAGAACCUUACCAAGGCUUGACAUGC